CCUACGGGUGGCAGCAGUGAGGAAUAUUGGUCAAUGGGCGCUAGCCUGAACCAGCCAAGUAGCGUGAAGGAUGACUGCCCUAUGGGUUGUAAACCUCUUUUAUAUGGGAAUAAAGUGCAGUAUGUAUACUGCUUUUCAUGUUCCUUAUGAAUAAGGAUCGGCUAACUCCGUGCCAGCAGCCGGGGUAAUACGGAGGAUCCGAGCGUUAUCCGGAUUUAUUGGGGUUAAAGGGAGGGUAGGCGGGUUGUUAAGUCCGUUGUGAAAGUUUGCGGCUCAAACGUAAAAUUGCAGUUGAUACUGGCAUCCUUGAGUACAGUAGAGGUAGGCGGAAUGCGUGGUGUAGCGGUGAAAUGCUUAGAUAUCACGAAGAACUCCGAUUGCGAAGGCAGCAUGCUGGCGUGUAACUGACGCUGAUGCUCGAAAGUGUGGGUAUCAAACAGGAUUAGAUACCCGAGUAGUC
rnacentral:rRNA from 1 species